GUCCCAAGCACGACAUUAAACUGCUUAUCAAUAUCCACUUCACCAACUGAUCAAUGGUGGCUUGAAGGUGUAUGUUGAUUACAAGUAAAUAACACGGCUGCCAUUCAAGCUGGUGGCUGCAUAUCAGAACGGAGAUGUUUCCGUCCGGAAUGCGGUCAGCUUUGCUAUGCCCAUUUGCAGCCAGAAU
ncrna:unclassified sequences DTF2800 RNA